GUUGUUUGGUACAACAUAAAGACAUACUCGUCUAACACUUGAUGAAAUUUUGGCCCGACAAAUUUAUCAAACUGAGAGAAACCUAAAAACUGUCUCUCAGCUCGCUCUCACUCUCAAAACCCAUCUUCUCUCUUGAGCUCUCUUGCUUUCGCAGAAACUUAAAAAUCGUCUCUCAACUCGCUCUCACUCUCAAACCCAUCUUCUCUCUUGCUCUUGCUUUCGCUCUGGCACACAACAGAAAUCUUCGAACUGAAAACCCAAUCCAAUAUCAAUUUCUUCCAAUCCAACAUCGAACUGAAAACCUAGAAAAAAUCUCAACCAUCUCGCCUUGCAAACUUGAAAACCCCAUUCCAGCCAAAGGAUCUCAGUCUCGAUCCGUAUCUUGGUCUCAAUCUGAAUCCGCAUCUGUCACUGGUGAUUGCAUUGGGCAGCAACAUAGGCAGUUUAGGUGGAGGCUGUUAUCUAUUGAAUCCAAAAUAGGAAGAGGAAAGUUCAAGGGCAAGCCCACGGGUCAGUGCCACUUCUGCACUCACGAAGAGAUGGGGAUAACUCAAAUGAAGAUGGAUACAACAGUCGAUCAAAGAAAUCCAAGGCUUCUUGCAGAAAGUUUACUUUUUACAGGUUUGGUAUCCAUCUCUGAGUGUUGACCCUUUAAAGUAGGGUGAUUUCUUGAGGUACGCAUGUACUUAAGAAAACAUGUUUAUACUGCUUCUUUUUGAAAGAUUGUAUUUGACCUGAGAUGGUGAAUUCUUGUCUAACAUGCACCUCUCAAUUUCUCAAAUGGGGUAAAGUAUUAUGUUAAAUUUAGGUCAAUAACCCUGUAUGCUUUGUAUUAUUCCACUCAAAUUCGAUGCUUGUUUCUUUGGCCUUCAUUCAAAGGCUCUAUAACCGAACUUUUACCAUUCUAUUUUUGCAUCAUAUUAUUUAUAUGAUAUAGUGGUUAGUAGUGAUGAUACUUUGGUUGGUAUAAAUGGUUAAAAAAUUUCAGUUCGUGUUCUUUAUUCUUCCAAAAUUUUAUU